UACGGAAGGCAGCAGUGGGGAAUAUUGCACAAUGGGCGCAAGCCUGAUGCAGCCAUGCCGCGUGUAUGAAAAAGGCCUUCGGGUUGUAAAGUACUUUCAGUCGUGAGGAAGGUGUUAAGGUUAAUAACCUUAGCAAUUGACGUUAGCGACAGAAGAAGCACCGGCUAACUCCGUGCCAGCAGCCGCGGUAAUACGGAGGGUGCGAGCGUUAAUCGGAAUUACUGGGCGUAAAGGGCACGCAGGCGGUUAAUUAAGUUGGAUGUGAAAUCCCCGGGCUUAACCUGGGAAUGGCAUUCAAGACUGGUUAGCUAGAGUCUUGUAGAGGGGGGUAGAAUUCCAUGUGUAGCGGUGAAAUGCGUAGAGAUGUGGAGGAAUACCGGUGGCGAAGGCGGCCCCUGGACAAAGACUGACGCUCAUGUGCGAAAGCGUGGGGAGCAAACAGGGAUUAGAUAC
rnacentral:rRNA from 1 species